AACAAUAGUAACUUUUUUUUUUACUAGACUCACAACUUUAAAAACAAAUGGUUUUUUUUGUGUGUGAAAUAAACCUAGUAGGCGUAGUCUAUUUAUUUUAAAAUAAACCUUAUGCCUAGAUAUCUAUAUCUAAAUUUUCCAAAUGUAUUUUCAGAAGUUCGAAUGAGGAGAUGGAGAUGGCUGGGCCAUGUCCUACGCAUGAGCAAAAGAUGACUCCCCAACAUGGCACUGGAAAACGAAAGAGAGGGAGACCACUGGGAACAUGGAGGAGAUAGAUGGAAGAAGAAGUGCAAGCUGCUGGCAAGACCUGGCAUGAACUAAAGUGGCUUGCCCAAGACAGAGUGGAAUGGCAGGGAUUUGUUGCUGCCCUAUACUCCACAGGGAGUGAUGAGGAUUAAAGAAAGCAGACACAGAUCCAGUGUUGGAAGAGGAAGUAUUUUACAUAAAAGAAAAAAAAAAAAACAGAUGUCAAAGCAGGUAUUGGCUGGUGCAGAAACAGCAUGAAAGGAUUUUUGUAUCUUUCCUGGACUGAUGACUUUCAUUCAACCUGAUCAUUUUUUUAUUUGCAUCAACUAAAACUUGUUAUAUAAAUCACUUUGUUGUACUCACACCUUAAACUUAAACCCAUUAUUACUUUUGUACUUUUCAUUGAUAAUUGAAAUUUAUAUAA